CGUGUGUGAAGAAGGCCUUAGGGUUGUAAAGCACUUUCAAUUGGGAAGAAAAGUUCACGGUUUAUACCCGUUAGCCCUGACAUGAACUUACCAGCAAGCGC
rnacentral:rRNA from 1 species